UACGGAGGGGGCUAGCGUUGUUCGGAAUUACUGGGCGUAAAGGGCGCGUAGGCGGCCUUCUAAGUCGAACGUGAAAUCCCCGGGCUCAACCCGGGAACUGCGUCCGAUACUGGAAGGCUUGAAUCCGGGAGAGGGAUGCGGAAUUCCAGGUGUAGCGGUGAAAUGCGUAGAUAUCUGGAGGAACACCGGUGGCGAAGGCGGCAUCCUGGACCGGUAUUGACGCUGAGGCGCGAAAGCCAGGGGAGCAAACGGG
rnacentral:rRNA from 1 species